CCGACGCGCGGCGCGUUCCGAUCCUGGAGCCCAAGGGGCGGAGGUGGGGGUGAGGGAGCUCUCGAAUAACCUCCUCCCGCAGUUGCCACGACAGUUGAGUCCAGCGGAGCCGAACGGCGGAGUCGAACUGAACGAGCGAGCACAGUCCAACCUAGCGGACGAGAGGCUCCGGGCGGAGCAACACCUAGCCCUGCCUCUUGGCCCGGCUAGCCGAGCGGGGCCGAGCGAGGAGUAACGGGGCGGAGCGCCGUGCCGAGCGGGGCCGAGCGGAGCCGAGCGGGGCCGAACACAAUCGGACGGGGCGGAGCGCCGGGGCCAAGCUCAAGCCGCCGCCACAGCGAUGAAGCGGGACCGGCUCGGGCGCUUCCUGUCGCCCGGGGUGUCCGGGCAGCGCGGGAGCUCGGGUGGCGGCAGCUGUGGCGGUGGCCGGGCCCGGGGCCGCCCCUCCCGCAGCGGUCCCGACGUGGCCGAGGCGGCGGCUGUAGUGGCUGCGCGGCUGGGCUGGGGCCCGACGCGGGCCUGCGCGGACGCGGGCGAGGACGGCGCCGACGAGGCAGGAACGGCCCGGGCCCUGGCCAUGGGGCACUGUCGCCUCUGUCACGGGAAGUUCUCCUCCCGGAGUCUCCGCAGCAUCUCUGGCAGGGCGCCUGGGGAGAGCUCAGAAAGGCCGCCCCCUGGGGACCGUGUUUUUGUCCGGGACUUCCAGCGCCUCCUGGGGGUGGCCGUCCACCAGGACCCGGCUCUGUCCCAGUUUGUCUGCAAGAACUGCCACACCCAGUUCUACCAGUGCCACGGCCUCCUCACGUCUUUCCUACAGAGAGUCAACGUCCCCCCCACGGGCCGCCGGAAGCCUUGCGCAAAGGUCGGUGUGCAGCCUCGGACGGGGGCAGAGGAGGGAGCGUGUGUGGUGGACCUGAUCACUUCGAGCCCCCAGGGCCUGCGCGGCUUGGUGGGGUGGGUGCACGGACACGCAGCCGGCUGCGGGGCCCUGCCCAGCCUCCAGAGGACCCUGUCCUCCGAGUACUGUGGCAUCGUCCGAGCCGUGUGGGGCUGCGAUCGAGGGCACGACUACACCAUGGACGCCGACUCCCUCUUGCUGGACGGCGCCUUGGGCGUCAGGCGGACGUGGGACAAGGAUUCGGCCCCGGGGCUCCCCCGGCAUCGGGGGUCCAGCCCCAGCGGGGCUGCCCCUCAGAGCUCCCAGGGCAGAGCGACCGCGGCCGGGGCCGAGACCGACACACUGCCCAGCACGGACACAGCCCGGCCUCCUUCAGAUGGCGACCCGGUGGGGCCUGGGCCGGGCCCCCCGCCUCAGCCAAGCCUCCCCCAAAGCGGGGCCCCAGGGCAGUUGGGUGAGAAGCAGGUUCCAUCUCCAACCUCGGAUGAUCGGGUAAAAGACGAGUUCAGUGACCUUUCUGAGGGAGACUUCCUGAGUGAAGACGAAAGUGACAAGAAGCAGAAUACCCAGUCCUCAGACGAGUCCUUUGAGCCCUACCCAGAAAAGAAGAUCUCUGGUAAGAAGAGUGAAAGCAAAGAAGCCAAGAAGUCAGAAGAACCAAAAAUUCGAAAGAAACCUGGGCCCAAGCCAGGCUGGAAGGGCAAGCCACGCUGUGAGAGGGAGGAGCUGCCCACCAUCUACAAGUGUCCUCACCAGGGCUGCACGGCCGUGUACCGUGGGGCUGACGGCAUGAAGAAGCACAUCAAGGAGCACCACGAGGAGGUCCGGGAGAGGCCCUGCCCGCACCCCGGCUGCAACAAGGUGUUCAUGAUCGACCGCUACCUGCAGCGCCACGUCAAGCUCAUCCACACAGAAACUGGGGGAGGAAGCACAGUGAAGACAGUGCCCUGGUCAUCACCGCCACCAGCACGUGAGGCCCAGCGCCCCCUUCUCUGAACAUGCGUUCAUACCGUGGACUUGUACGUGCCUGGUGCACAUCGUCGCUACUUCUGCACAGAAGGCAGCUCUCCCAAACCGCAGCCCCUUCUAGAUAGAUUUGGUACAUCUGUGUCUAUCGCUAAGAGAGAGUUUUUCUUGUUUUGAACUUUGUAAAAAUGAUUUACUUCACUCAGAUUUGACCGUUUAAUUGUUGGCGCACAUUUACUUGUUGGUUCCACAGUGAAACAAACAGUUUUCCUGUGUUUUUUGCUCCAAGUGUUCUUUUCUGAUUCUUCUCUCGGGUUGGGUCAAGCUGUUCUCAGUCUGGAUGCCCGUGGUCGUGACCACAAGCAGUUUUUGUUUCUAACACAGAAGAGGCUAGAUCGUGUGCUGCCGGGACGGUUGCCCCUAGUGAGGGAGGCGCCUGCCGGGGAGGCCAGUUGAGGUACUGGUAGAUGAGCAGCGGGACGUGCAGUGACGUGGGGUGGGAAGCGUGUGGCAGCCGCCCCCCUGGCACGGCCUGCAGUGGAACCACUGGUGUGGGGUGUGACGGUUCAAGUUCUGUUCAAGAGCGUUAAGACUGCCUUUGCAGUGGGUACCCAGCAGUGGGCCCAGCGUGGCGGUGGGUUUUAGAGUAGCAGCAACAUGAAACCUUACUGAUUUGGCUUCCUCUAAAAAUCUGUGCUCAAGGAAAUCGGCCAAAAGGGCAAGAAAACAGGCUCCAGAAGAAAUGUACACAGUAGUUGGAGAGGAAGCCGCAGCCAGGUGACAAUUUCAGGCGACACGGACGGCUCUGUAUCAGAGCUAUGUCACCUGUAAGGCACUCGGGCACCGAGGGGAGGGUGUCAGGGCCUGUGGUCACUGCCUCUCUGGUCCCCAGAGGUGCGGAACUAUAUCUGUGACGAGUGUGGGCAGACCUUCAAGCAGCGGAAGCACCUCCUGGUCCACCAGAUGCGCCACUCAGGAGCCAAGCCCCUGCAGUGCGAAGUCUGCGGGUUCCAG